UUCCAGGUUUUACAGCCACAACAACAACCAAUGAUCCUUCAACAAAACCACAAGGUUGGUUGUGGCUCAUCAAGGUGUUUCUGGGAGUUGCAGCUCUCUUAAUAACUGUUGUUAUUGUUGUUGCUCUCAUCAGAUGGAAGAAAACUAAAGGAAAAAAACCCCAGAUGGAUGAAAACACUG